rnacentral:pre_miRNA from 1 species
AGUACGGGAGGAUUUUUUCCAGUUAGGCUCAUGGCUAAAGUCCAGCUCUUAGCUGGAUUUAGCCAAAGCCUGGCUGUAAACAACCCCAG